rnacentral:tRNA from 1 species
UAGGAAAUAGCAUAGGGGGAGUGCGAAGGGUUUUGAUCCCUUAAGGAUGGGUUCAAGUCCCAUUUUUCUAG